rnacentral:rRNA from 1 species
GAGUUUGAUCCUGGCUCAGGACGAACGCUGGCGGCGUGCCUAACACAUGCAAGUCGAGCGAAGAACUUAUCAUGAAACCUUCGGGUAGAUUGAUAAACUUCUUAGCGGCGGAUGGGUGAGUAACGCGUGAGGAACCUGCUUUCCACAAGGGGAUAGCCUCGGGAAACCGGGAUUAAUACCCUAUGACACUUAAGAUUCGCAUGAAUAUUAAGUUAAAGCGUUUAGCGGUGGAAGAUGGCCUCGCGUCCCAUUAGCUAGUUGGUGAGGCAACGGCUCACCAAGGCAACGAUGGGUAGCCGGCUUGAGAGAGUGAACGGCCACACUGGAACUGAGACACGGUCCAGACUCCUACGGGAGGCAGCAGUGGGGAAUAUUGCACAAUGGAGGGAACUCUGAUGCAGCGACGCCGCGUGAGCGAUGAAGGCCUUCGGGUCGUAAAGCUCUGUCCUAUGGGACGAUAAUGACGGUACCAUAGGAGGAAGCCCCGGCUAACUACGUGCCAGCAGCCGCGGUAAUACGUAGGGGGCGAGCGUUGUCCGGAAUUACUGGGCGUAAAGGGUACGCAGGCGGCCAUGUAAGUCAGAUGUGAAAGGUCACGGCUCAACCGUGGUAAGCAUUUGAAACUGUGUGGCUUGAGUUAAGGAGAGGAAAGUGGAAUUCCUGGUGUAGCGGUGAAAUGCGUAGAUAUCAGGAGGAAUACCAGUGGCGAAGGCGACUUUCUGGACUUAAACUGACGCUGAGGUACGAAAGCGUGGGGAGCAAACAGGAUUAGAUACCCUGGUAGUCCACGCCGUAAACGAUGAGUGCUAGGUGUCGGAGGGAGACUUUCGGUGCCGCAGUUAACACAUUAAGCACUCCGC